rnacentral:lncRNA from 1 species
UACAGAGCUUGUGGUUGUCUGUUGUCAGCAUUUACCCUUGGUGUGCUAUAUACUCCAGGUGGGACACACAGAGAAUAACUACCCUUCAACCUGGAAUAUCCUUUUGCUUGCAAGUACUGUCCACUGGGAGCAACAGAAUGAUGGUGCUACACUUCUUUUCCUGUCCAGGAAUAAUAUUUUUUGUCUUAUAAUAGAACUGUGCCUUUACACUGAACAGGCCAAACCAAGACAGAGUAUUGUCUACAGCUGGGGCAUCAGCCUACGUCUUUGGACAUAAUGACGUUGACGAUCAGCAUUUGAUCAAUCAGCACUGUGACCGAUGUCGCGAGGAGCUG